AAUGCAAAUGUAUUACUUUUGUUUGCUUUUACAUACGGAAAUAUGGAUACAUUAUACGUGGACAUAAAAUUAGCCCCUUCCACCGUAAACUGAGAGAAAGAAAUCUGGAGCUGCGAAGUCACCUUGUAGAGGGCUUCACUAAGUGUUACAAGUCGGCAGUUGAUAAACUGCAAAGCUCGACAUUCCAUCUCAGCAGAGCACAAACAGCAGCACAGGAUGUCUCACACAAUACGAGAUUGAUGCUGGAAGACCUCACCACUCUGUCAACAUUAUUAGACAGCAUUCUAGGAUCAGAAAAACUUAUACCUCUUAAUGUUAAUGUUAAAUAUACAGACGAAUCAACCUCCUAGGAUAAUGUUGCACUUGUCAAAGUCUCUACUUGGCUAAUUAAAUUCUUUCCAGUCAGAUGUACAAUCGUUUUCAAUAGAAAGUCUUAGCUUCUCUCUUCUGAAGGACCCUCCACAGUGUCCUACCCAGAGGUUUGGAUGUUCAUUACAGAAAUCCACUGAGCCAAGUUAGUGCAGGUGCAAAGUUGAAUGGAUCGAUCCUGUACCCCCAUCAUUACCCUUAAAGUAACACUGCACCUGUACUUGCAUCACUCAGUGGAUUCUCCUAACACCAAAACACCUCUGAGCCUGUGCAGAGGAGAGAGAGUUCUUGCUGCUAGUCUCCAUUACAGCUGUUAUUUGGCACAUCACUUGUGACUCUCCAAAUGAAGGCUGCAAAUGGUACUAAACAGGAUCAGUUGUAAGAGUAACUGUGUCUUACCGUUACACAUAUUUGGGAACUAGUAACUACAGUAGACUUAAUCAUUUGUCUGUCAGUGUGCAAUACAAGGCCUGCAAAAUGCAUAAAACAAGCCUGCCAAAAAAGCAGAUUUGUAGUUUCAAGGUUAGGGAUUUUAGAAAGUAGUAUUGCUUGGUUAAGAAAGGAAAUGAAAGUUAACGAAAUAGAUUUUGUGCUGUGUUGCAA